rnacentral:rRNA from 1 species
UACGUAGGCGGAAUGUCAAGUAUCUUGUGAAAUCCCUCGGCUCAACCGAGGAAUUGCAGGGUAAACUGGCAUUCUUGAGGCAGGUAGAGGUAACUGGAACUCAUGGUGGAGCGGUGGAAUGCGUAGAUAUCAUGGGGAACGCCAAAGGUGAAGACAAGUUACUGGGCCUGUCCUGACGCUGAGGUACGAAAGCGUGGGUAGCAAACAGGAUUAGAUACCCUGGUAGUCC